rnacentral:rRNA from 1 species
GACGAACCGUGCGAACGUUGUUCGGAAUCACUGGGCGUAAAGCGCACGUAGGCGGAUUCGUAAGUCAGGGGCGAAAUCCCGGGGCUCAACCUCGGAACUGCCUUUGAUACUGCGGGUCUUGAGUCCGAUAGAGGUGGGUGGAAUUCCUAGUGUAGAGGUGAAAUUCGUAGAUAUUAGGAAGAACACCGGUGGCGAAGGCGGCCCACUGGAUCGGUACUGACGCUGAGGUGCGAAAGCGUGGGGAGCAAACAGG